rnacentral:lncRNA from 1 species
GAGGCGGGAGUGGGAAAGGAGGGGAGCCGAGGCCCGGCGUGGGGAGGCCGGCAGGAAGGGCUUCGAGCCCUGUGCGGACCUUUUUUCAGCCUCAAACCGGCCGCGCGGCGCGCUAGGCUGCUGCGCUGAAGAAACCUUAAGAUGUCCUGGCCCGACCACUUCGUGCUCCAGAGAAGGAAAAGAAGGUUCGGAGCUUGAACACCGCGGCAGAACCCGGGCUGGAACUCAGCUCGCAGGCCCACCUACAGGCUCCUUUCCCUUCACCAAGUUUGCAGCCAGGAGGAGAGCCUACAGCACAACUGAAGAGGCAGAAGCCAUCUUGCCUCUGUGAUUAGACAAGCAUGAAGAUAAAAGCUUCCCUGUGAGGAUAAUGGAACAAAGUGAUAGAAGGGGCCUAGACUCCCUUCCUUUAGACUUCUUGUUAUGUGAGGAAAAUAAAAUACUAUUACAAGUUUAAGCUGUAGAGAUG